rnacentral:ncRNA from 1 species
GAUAGAGGUUGCAUGUUCCAAGAGUACGGCGAGGGAUGCGUCAGGAGCAGUGGAAAUCGCCGGAAAGGGGAAGAUGCCGAAAGGAUGAGCCGCCUGAAAACUUGUCCUUGGGCAUGACGCGAACAGCGGCAUGACUGUCAUCACAGGAUGGAGCGCUAUCCGG